rnacentral:lncRNA from 1 species
CACUUCAAAACUGUGCUACACGCACAAUUGAUAUGGUGAUUGUAAUCAACUUGUUUAUCAAAUUAUAAUUUACAACAAUUUUAAACAAUACAAGAAAUUUAAAAUAGUAUGUGAAAAGCUAGUCCAAUAGUACGUAGAUUCUAACACCAAUUACAACUUGAAGCUUAAGUUUACAAGAUAUAUGCGUCUAGCAAAAUCUAGAAGAUGUAUGGAAUUAGAGCCUUGACAUCUUUAGGAAAAUCAUCAAAUUUAGAGAGGUACCAUUUUUUGGUGGCAUAACUCCUCCCCAUCAAGAGCAAAGCUGAUCCCAUGGUGAAGGAGAAUGCAUAUACUGUUUGAGAAAUGCAAGCAACUCCUGUAAACCCUAGGAUUUCAAAAAGAUAGUGUGGACAUACCACAAGAUCAAACAGACCCCCUCGGGGAAUUUUGUAUUCUUUUUCGCCCUCUUUCCUUAACUUGGAGAGGAGGUAAUGGUGGUAAAAAUUACCACUAAUUCAUACCAAGAACAUUACAACUCCGGCAUAUUUUAGAUCCACCGGCGGCUCGGGAAAUGUUCUGAUUAGGUAUUGAGCGUAGAUCAUGCUUAUCGUGUAAAGGAAAUAACUAAGGGAGAUGAAAAUUGUAACAUCAAGGGGCAUGGUGCCGCUGUAUUUGUGAAUGAAUAACACCUAUAAAAAAAAUACACCAUUUAAUUAAUCUUGUGAAUUACUUAUAUAUGUAGAUGAAGCACCAUAUACAUAUAUGGGCCUCCAUCCACAGCAACCGGUUGUUGGGGAGCAACCCAUUUUGGCCAGCCGGUAGAGCUUGUACCGGCUUAUAAAAAAAANNNNNNNNNNNNNNNNNNNNNNNNNNNNNNNNNNNNNNNNNNNNNNNNNNNNNNNNNNNNNNNNNNNNNNNNNNNNNNNNNNNNNNNNNNNNNNNNNNNNNNNNNNNNNNNNNNNNNNNNNNNNNNNNNNNNNNGUAAAUACAAUGCCACCGCGUAUUUACAAAAAUGUCACCGCAUCCCUCCAAAACUACGUCGUUUUGAUAAAAGAAUGUUAUUUAAGGCGGAAUGCUAUUUAAGGAGAAUGCUCUUGAUCCUGACCGUAUAUAUAUAUAUAUAUAUAUAUAUAUAUAUAUGUAUGUAUGUGUGUGUGUGUUAGAAUUUAAGAACGAAUAAUAUUACAGUCACACAAAUAUUAUAUGAAAGACAUAAAAAUAAGAACACGCAAUAUACUCAUGUUUACCAAUUUGGCUAGUCAUGCAUGUCUAAUGUAUUCAUUAGAUACCUCACACACUCUACAAUGAUUCACACAUCAAAUAAUAUUUUUAUAGUAACUAGAAAAACCCUAUCUGCUAUAGCAUGAGCUCAAAUACAUGAGGCCCAAUACAUUAGUAAAACCCAAGAUCAGGCUACUAAUAAAUCUCCGAGCCCAAUUGCACUUUGAGCUUGGCUUUUAGGGCCACUGUCCCCUUGCAACCUCAGCCAGCUCACCAGCGAGCUAGGCAUCCGCUAGCUCACCGGGGAGCGAGACCCCCGACUGUGUAGUCAUAGUGGUCAUUCGUCGAAUUCGCAAAAGUACGAGUCAAUCCUAACAUAUAUAUAUAUAUAUAUAUAUUAAUUUGCUAACCAAUAUAUCUAUUGUAAGUUAAACAAAAAUACUACUAAUUAUCAUAUUUGUUGUAUAUAAAAACUAAUUGAAUGAAUCAUAUAAAUUUUUAGUAUUUAGAAUUUCGUAAUAUUUACAUAAAAAAGCAUAAUGUAUUUCUAGUUUUAGAGCCAAAGGUGUAUAUUGUGUGUAAUAUGUAUUAUCCUAUGAAUCUUAAAAGUUAGAAUUUAAGCUCGGAUGAUAAAACUGAACUAUUUUUAAGUCCGAGGAUAAAAUAAGAAAAUAAGAGUAUUCUAAAUUUUUAGAGGAUAAAGGAUGAAAUAGAAAUUUUAAUAAAAAUUAGAGGACAAAUUAAACUGUUAUAAAAUUGGGACAGAGCCUUAAGAAAGGUAACACCAAGCAGGUGUUCCUCUAAAGCUUUAUAAUAAGAUAUAUAUUAUCUUAUGAAUCUUAAAAGAUAGAAUUUAAGCUCAGAGGAUAAAAAUGAAAAAAAAUAUUGAAGUCAGAGGAUAAAUAAGUAAAUAAAUAUAUUUUAAAUUUUUACCCAAAAGAUAUUUAAUUCAUCAUUUGAUGUUUAUUUGCAUAUAUUUUUGCUAAGAAACAAUUAUUGAAUUUUUUUGUUUAAAUAUGUCCCAAACUACUUUGAUAUGCUUAAAAGAUAGUUAAAAGAUGGACUAAUAAGACUAUCCAACAAUAUCAAUUGCCUAUAAUAAUAAUUCAUAAAAAUUAAAUGUGUAAAAAGAGAAAUUCUCAAAGUAAUAAAUUAAACUCAGUUAUUAGACAAAAAAAAGUAAUAAAAAUAGUUGCAGAUAAGACCAAUUGCAGACCACAUGAUGAGAGAGGUCACCUCAAAGAGCCUCUUGAAGAAAUGGAUGGCUAGAGCCAAAGAAACCAAAGUAAAUCUGAGACCCUCGUCGGGAAAGAGGCCGAAAGAGGUAACUCCGGCGAGAAAAGCCGGCGUCUAAGCUAAAAGCAUUCCAGUUCUACCAGAAAGUUUGAUCUGAGAAGUUGCAACAUUUUUAUCAAGGUUCCAAAAUUUGGAAUACGGAAUGUUUUUCCCUUUUAUUUCAUUGAACCCGGAGUUGGCUAGGGAUGCAACAUUGAUAACCGUCAUGGCGGUUAUGAACAAAGAUGGCGGCGGCGGGUAUAUAAAUCUCAGUAAUAUUGACAGCACCAUUUUCUUUUUAAUUAAUUCUGCGUGUUUGAUUGUAGUAUGUAUGUACGUAGUAGGGAGAUUGGAGAGUGAAGGAAAUAUGCAAAAAGAGAUAAUAUAUAUCAAUCACACGUUAUGCUUAUGGCCUAGAAAAUGCUUUUGGUUAUUAUUGGUGUACCAUACGCCAGAAUUGAGAGAUAGAGAGAGAAAUAUGUGAAGAGUUGUGAUUUUUGUGGAUUAAUUAUAUAAUUUUUAUAAUAAAAAAACGACCAUUAGUAAAAUUAUAGUUGUUACAGUUGGUAAAUGAAAGUUUAUUUAAUUUUUGGUUGGGUUUGAAAUCUGAAUUCUGAUGGAAUGAAAUUUUCAUGAAUGUGAUUGAUGGAUGAAUGAGAAGGUGUGUCAGCCCUUUGUUUAGAAGUUUAAUCUAGCUCAGAUAGUAGAAAACAAUUUUAUUUAUUAGUUUUUUUAGCAAUAAAAGAAUAACUUGUUGAAUUAAAUCUGAAGCCAUAAAGGAAAUUUUUACUGCUAUAAAUUUUCAUUUCAAGACUGUGCUACACCACACAAUUGAUAAUUUACAAUAUAAAUGUAAUCAACUUAAUUAUCAAAUUAUAAUUUACAACAAUUUUAAAUAAUACAAGAAAUUUAAUACAUUAUGUGAAAAGCUAGUCCAAUAGUACGUAGAUUCUAACACCAAUUACAACUUGAAGCUUAAGUUUACAAGAUAUAUGCGUCUGGCAAAAUCUAGAAAAUGUAUGGAAUUAGAGCCUUAACAUCUUUAGGAAAAUCAUCAAAUUUAGAGAGGUACCAUUUUUUGGUGGCAUAACUCCUCCCCAUCAAGACCAAAGCUGAUCCCAUAGUGAAGGAGAAUGCAUAUACCGUUUGAGAAAUGCAAGCAACUCCUGUAAACCCUAGGAUUUCAAAAAGAUAGUGUGGACAUACCACAAGAUCAAACAGACCCCCUCGGGGAAUUUUGUAUUCUUUUUCGCCUUCUUUCCUUAACUUGGAGAGGAGGUAAUGGUGGUAAAAAUUACCACUAAUUCCUACCAAGAACAUUGCAACUUCGACGUAUUUUAGAUCAAUCCGCGGCUCGGGAAAUGUUCCGGUUAGGUAUUGAGCGUAGAUCAUGCUUACUGUGUAAAGGAAAUAACUAAGGGAGAUGAAAAUUGUAACAUCAAGG